ensembl:snRNA U6 U6 spliceosomal RNA
GUGCUCGCUUCAGCAGCACAUAUACUAAAAUUAGAAUGAUACAGAGAUUAGCAUGGCCCUAGCACAAGGAUGACAGGCAAAUUCAUGACGCAUUCCAUUAAAAA